rnacentral:rRNA from 1 species
GCAUAUCAAUAAGCGGAGGAAAAGAAACCAACAGGGAUUGCCCUAGUAACGGCGAGUGAAGCGGCAACAGCUCAAAUUUGAAAUCUGGCUUCGGCCCGAGUUGUAAUUUGCAGAGGAAGCUUUAGGCGCGGCACUUUCUGAGUCCCCUGGAACGGGGCGCCAUAGAGGGUGAGAGCCCCGUAUAGUUAGAUGCCUAGCCUGUGUAAAGCUCCUUCGACGAGUCGAGUAGUUUGGGAAUGCUGCUCAAAAUGGGAGGUAAAUUUCUUCUAAAGCUAAAUACCGGCCAGAGACCGAUAGCGCACAAGUAGAGUGAUCGAAAGAUGAAAAGCACUUUGAAAAGAGGGUUAAAUAGCACGUGAAAUUGUUGAAAGGGAAGCGCUUGUGACCAGACUUGCGCCGGGCAGAUCAUCCGGUGUUCUCACCGGUGCACUCUGCCCGGCUCAGGCCAGCAUCGGUUCUCGCGGGGGGAUAAAGGCCCCGGGAACGUAGCUCCUCCGGGAGUGUUAUAGCCCGGGGCGUAAUGCCCUCGCGGGGACCGAGGUUCGCGCAUCUGCAAGGAUG